UAGUGUACUCGGACUGUCUAGCUCUAGCUAAUAACACAGCAUAGUAGGCUAUUGGUUGACAGACAGCCGCUAAUCAGAUCACAUCACCGCCAGAUAAUUAACUAAAGAUGCUGAAAAUGGAGGGACUCGGGCCGAAGAUGGACCCGGAAGAGAUGAAGAUGUGGUGUCUUCGGUCAGGAACUUUCUCCUCCAUGUCGCCCUGCUCCGAGUCACACAAUAUGUUCUCAGAAGCUGGACAGCAUAUGAAUAGAAUCCAUCUUCUCUCAGCCUCGACCCUCAAGACCUACAUCACACAAGAUGCUUCAGAAAAACAACAACUGUAACGAAUGUCGCCGGGAUAAGGAGAAGAGGACCAAGGUGCAGCGUGGAACAACCAUGACAACAACAACAAGCUGGUGAAGUUGCUACCCAACAGGAA